AACCUCUUUUUGUCUUACCUCGAUUUGUGUACACAGUCCGAGUGUUAUAACUAGAGAUUCUAGUUCAUUUUACGCUCCUUUUUACUUGAGUUUUGAUUAAAAAUGUAUACAAAAUAGUCUCAAAGUCUUACAUGUUGUACUUAUUUGCAGGGUUGGUUAAAAAAUGUGACAAUUAGUCAAAAUCAGCUCAAAAAGGAGUGAAACAUGCACAAGUACCAAGAACAAGUCAAAGCACAAUUGCAACAGACUCACUGCGGCCACAAUCCAUUUAGUGUGGCUGUGGUGAGGAGAUUCAGAGAGGUGCAGAAUUUGGAUGUUCAAGCAGUGCGGCUGCAACCCUUUUUGUGCGGACCGCAGUACCCUCUUCGCGAUCGCAAUCCAUUUUAUGCGAUCCGCUUAUAGGGGAUUCAGAGAGUUGGUAAUUUGGAUGAAUGAAGCCAGCAUGGUCCGCAGAGCAUUUUAUGCAGACUGCAAUGAAGCCACAAUAGCCACAGUGCAUUUUAUGCGGCCCGCGGUGGCCAGAUUUAGAGAAGGAUUAGUCAAGGCAAGAAGCCUCAUCGCGGUCCGCGGUGCAUUUUAUGCGGAGCGCAGUACCUCAUCAGGGGUAUUUUUGUCCAUAAAAUUUAGCCUAGUAUAAAUACUUUCUUUUCAUAUUUUUAGGGCAUCUUUUGUAAUCUCUCUGAGACCAGACCACGUGAACGGCUGUAUUCGGCUAUUUUGAGUAAUUUGUAGUUGGUUUAACAUUGAAUCUUCUUUAUCUUAGUUUGCAAUUAAUCAUAUGG
rnacentral:lncRNA from 1 species